AAAUAUUUUUCAUAGUGUAAAAUCAGUUACAAAAUACAAUUUUGUUGCAAUAUUAAAGACGCUUUGGAAUUAUCUAUUUUUUUAAACAAUACUGGAAUAAUUUUCACUUGGCCAUACGUAAUAUAGAUGUCGAUAAUGGGUAUAUGGUUGAAACUGCAUUUUUGAAGAUUGCAAUGCACGCAUUAAUGGGAUGUAAUCUUCUUCGUGCUUUGAAAAUGUAUUAAUAUCUGGUUCUGGCUAUACUAUAGUACCUCCACUUUCUGCAGGACUGACAACGUGAAGAGCAUUUCCAACCUGUCCUAUUCCAGGCUGUAAUUAAAAAAUGCAUAAAAAUUCACUACUAAAAGUGCAUUAAAGAAUUGUGCAAUAAUAGCAAUAUAAAAAUAUAAUCAAUAGUAGAACGAGCAUAUAAAAAACAUAUUCUAUUACUUUGUUCAAUGAAGCAAUGAACAAGUCAAGAAAACAUUAAAUUAUUAUAUACACAUAUGUAUACGUACCAUGCGAUAAAUUCUGGGAAGAUUCAUCCAUGAUUCUCUUGCAUCAGCCAAAGCAUGG